rnacentral:rRNA from 1 species
AGCGACUUAACUGAACCUUCGGGGAACGUUAAGGGCGGCGAGCGGCGGACGGGUGAGUAAUGCCUGGGAAUAUGCCCUGAUGUGGGGGAUAACUAUUGGAAACGAUAGCUAAUACCGCAUAAUCUCUUCGGAGCAAAGAGGGGGACCUUCGGGCCUCUCGCGUCAGGAUUAGCCCAGGUGGGAUAGCUUGUUGGUGAGGUAAUGGCUCACCAAGGCAACGAUCCCUAGCUGGUCUGAGAGGAUGAUCAGCCACACUGGAACUGAGACACGGUCCAGACUCCUACGGGAGGCAGCAGUGGGGAAUAUUGCACAAUGGGGGAAACCCUGAUGCGGCCAUGCCGCGUGUGUGAAGAAGGCCUUCGGGUUGUAAAGCACUUUCAGUAGGGAGGAAGGUAGUGUAGUUAACACCUGCAUUAUUUGACGUUACCUACAGAAGAAGCACCGGCUAACUCCGUGCCAGCAGCCGCGGAAUACGGAGGGUGCGAGCGUUAAUCGGAAUUACUGGGCGUAAAGCGCAUGCAGGCGGCCUGUUAAGUCAGAUGUGAAAGCCCGGGGCUUAACCUCGAAUUGCAUUUGAAACUGGCAGGCUAGAGUCUUGUAGAGGGGGGUAGAAUUUCAGGUGUAGCGGUGAAAUGCGUAGAGAUCUGAAGGAAUACCAGUGGCGAAGGCGGCCCCUGGACAAAGACUGACGCUCAAUGCGAAAGCGUGGGGAGCAAACAGG